GACGAACGCUGGCGGCGUGCUUAACACAUGCAAGUCGAACGGAAAGGCCCUGCUUUUGUGGGGUGCUCGAGUGGCGAACGGGUGAGUAACACGUGAGUAACCUGCCCUUUACUUUGGGAUAACUUCAGGCAACUGGGUCUAAUACCGGAUAGGAGCUCCUGCUGCAUGGUGGGGGUUGGAAAGUUUCGGCGGUUGGGGAUGGACUCGCGGCUUAUCAGCUUGUUGGUGGGGUAGUGGCUUACCAAGGCUUUGACGGGUAGCCGGCCUGAGAGGGUGACCGGCCCCAUUGGGCCUGAGCUACGACACAGACUACUACGGGAGGCAGCGGUGGAGAAUAGUGUACAGUGGGCGGAAGGCUGGUGCAACAACGCCGCGUGCGGGAUGAAGGCCAUGGGGUUGGAAACCGCAUUCGCCUGUGACGAAGCGUGAGUGACGGUAAUGGGUGAAGAAGCACCGGCUAACUACGUG
rnacentral:rRNA from 1 species